rnacentral:rRNA from 1 species
UACGUAGGGGGCGAGCGUUACCCGGAUUCACUGGGCGUAAAGCGGGUGUAGGCGGCUCGGUAAGUCGGGUGUGAAAUCCCACAGCUCAACUGUGGAAUUGCGCCCGAAACUGCUGAGCUUGGGGUCGGUAGAGGGAGACGGAACUGCCGGUGUAGGGGUGAAACCCGUAGAUAUCGGCAGGAACGCCGGUGGGGAAGCCGGUCUCCUGGGCCGCGCCCGACGCUGAGACCCGAAAGCUAGGGGAGCAAACCGG